rnacentral:rRNA from 1 species
GACGAACGCUGGCGGCGUGCUUAACACAUGCAAGUCGAACGGUGAGCCUCUUCGGAGGGUCUCAGUGGCGAACGGGUGGGUAACACGGGGGCAACCUGCCCACCGCUCUGGGAUAACUCCAUGAAAUCGGGGCUAAUACCGGAUGUUCAGCUCUUCUGGCAUGGGUGGUGGUGGAAAGGGUGUAGGGCGGGGGGUGGGCGCGCGGGCUAUGAGCCUGUUGGCGGGGUAGUGGCGUACCAAGGCGGCGACGGGUAGCCGGCCUGAGAGGGUCGCCGCGCACACGGGGACUGCGAGAGGGAGCAGUCUCGUACGGGAGGCAGCGGGGGAGAGUAUUGCGCAGCGAGCGCGAGUCAGUGGCAACGGCGCCGCGUGCGGGAUGACGGGCUUCGAGUGGUAAACCUCUGUCAGCAGGGACGAAGCGCAAGUGACGGUACCUGCAGAAGAAGCACCGGCCAACUACGUG